rnacentral:pre_miRNA from 15 species
UCUAAUGCCAUAUAUUUGGUUUCGAGACUUUCAAUUCCGUAGUGCAUUGCAGUGUUUUUAAACUACAACUGCAUGCUCUGCGGACUUGGCAGAUUUGAAGACCAGGAGCAACUUUUAAGAA